rnacentral:rRNA from 1 species
CCCUUAGAUGUUCUGGGCCGCACGCGCGCUACACUGAUGCAUUCAACGAGUUUCUUCCUGGUCCGAGAGGAAUGGGUAACCUUUUGAAAGUGCAUCGUGAUAGGGAUAGACUAUUGCAAUUAUUGGUCUCCAACGAGGAAUUCCUAGUAAACGCAAGUCAUCAGCUUGCAUUGAUUACGUCCCUGCCCUUUGUACACACCGCCCGUCGCACCUACCGAUUGAAUGGUCCGGUGAAAUCUUCGGAUUGAGACUUUGAUUUCUUCACGGAAAACGCUGUUUUAAGAAGUUGAUUAAACCUUACCAUUUAGAGGAAGGUGAAGUCGUAACA